rnacentral:rRNA from 1 species
AGUGAACGCUGGCGGUAGGCCUAACACAUGCAAGUCGAACGGCAGCACAGUAAGAGCUUGCUCUUACGGGUGGCGAGUGGCGGACGGGUGAGGAAUACAUCGGAAUCUACUUUUUCGUGGGGGAUAACGUAGGGAAACUUACGCUAAUACCGCAUACGACCUACGGGUGAAAGCAGGGGAUCUUCGGACCUUGCGCGAUUGAAUUAGCCGAUGUCGGAUUAGCUAGUUGGCGGGGUAAAGGCCCACCAAGGCGACGAUCCGUAGCUGGUCUGAGAGGAUGAUCGGCCACACUGGAACUGAGACACGGUCCAGACUCCUACGGGAGGCAGCAGUGGGGAAUAUUGGACAAUGGGCGCAAGCCUGAUCCAGCCAUACCGCGUGGGUGAAGAAGGCCUUCGGGUUGUAAAGCCCUUUUGUUGGGAAAGAACAGCAGCAGGUUAAUACCCCGCUGUUCUGACGGUACCCAAAGAAUAAGCACCGGCUAACUUCGUG